UAUUGAUUUGUUCUAUUCACGUUUUUUUUCAAACAAAUGGGUAUUGAUUUCUCCCACCAUUUUUUCUUCUCUUCCCCAAAAUUUCAGAAAACCUAAUUACUUUUGACAAAAGACUGCUAUUCUGCAGACAUGAAGCUUCAAACAUGGCACCUCUCUUGUCAUUUCCACACAAACGUUUCAUUUAUCUCAUUUGUUUUAGACAUCUCCCUCUCUCUCUCUCUCCAUAACGUUGCAACCGACAUCAAACUUCUCUUCCAAAUUUAUUCUCCUCUCAACUUUCUUAUGGCAAGAUCCUUUGAGAAAUUGAAGGACAUCAAUGAAACCAAGGAACUCUAGAAAAUUGCAGUCAAAAUCCAUCAGAAAUGAAACCAAAGAGCACUUCAAGAUGAUUCUACACGAUAAAGAGGGUACUGAUAUACACUGUAGAGUACAGCUGCUUUUAAAUUGACUUAUGACUCUGUUUUAACAACACAUAUACCAAUUCUGAAGCAGUGCUGCAAAUAGUGAUUCACUACUUGGAGGCUGUUGUUCGGAGACGAACUGUUGAGGUGUGGGAUGUGAGAAUCUGGAAGUUGAUCCUCCAAUGCAGUGCUUCAUAGGUAAUAUUUAAUGCUCAAGAACUGAGGUGCAGUUGCAACUUGCGAUAUGGCAAUAUUUAACGCUCAAUAUGCUACAAGUUUGGAGUGUUUCCCCCGACUUUUAUUUUGUUUCAUUUUUUAGCACACUAAGAUUGUUACAGUUCUGCGUUUUAUGAAACAUAACAAUUUCCUACUCACUGCUACAACUUGGAAAUUUGGCAAGGAACUCAACUUCUAGCUAUUGACGCCGCCGCCGCCAUGGUUUUAGUUAGAAGAACCGUGAUGGGAGAUGAAUUGACUGAGAAAGAGAAGAAAGUACUCAAGAGAACCUUCACUGACAUGGCUUCGAUUAUUCCAAUUGGAUUUCUAAUGCUUCUUCCGGUGAGUACUGCUCUGCCUAUUUUAACGAUUUAAGUUGGGCUAAAUAUGUUUUUCUGCAGGAUCAUGAUUGGUCUUCCUUCUGGUGAAAAACGAGAAGCGAUAUUGAGAACUCUUCUAGCUAAGGAAAAACACGAAGAUAUAGAUUUCAAAGAGGUUUCAGCUAUGACAGAAGGAUAUAGUGGGAGUGGUCUUAAGAACUUGUGCAAUACCGCAACAUGUCACCCCAUUAAGGAGCUAAUGGAACAGGAGAAGGACCAAGCAAUGAUUUCAUCCAACCGAUGAAGAAUUGGUGAAUCAUUACUUGUGUAGAAAAUGUGUUGGCCAAUCAAUUUAUGUUCCUGUUGUUAAAGAAGUUGAUUUGUAUAAGUUUGAUCCAUGACAGCUUCCUGUUACAUCAUUUUUUCACUAAUGAAUAAUUUCUUUUGUUAAUCUUCUUUUUAAUUGCAUAUGAACAAUUUGUUUUUGCUGAUGUGUGCAGAAAUGGGUUUGCCACGGACUCAUAGUUUGUACAUGGACACGUCUGAUUCGGUUCCAAAGUUGCACGCGGACUCGAGCAGCUCCGGGCACGUGGUUUCGCCAGAUGUCACCUGUGACAGAGAGGUGCAUAGUGAACCAAAAUGGAACUAACUUGGAAUACAACUGGAUGACGCGUUUGAUUUUGAAUUCAAUUACUUGGAUAAUAGCCUUUCAUUUUAGUAUGAGGAUGACCCUUUUGGGACCAAUGAUCAGUACCAAAUCAACCAGCUUUCGUCGUUACAGGAUAUGUUCAUGUACCAAAAAAAACCAUUUUGAUUCUGUUUGGAUAAUAGCCUAAUUUAAUUUAUUUUUUAGUAAGAAAAGUCCUAGUUUAAUUAAUGAAAUUACACAUAAUUAACUACUUUAUGUGGACCACUAUAGAUAAUUAUUAUUCUCUGCUCUAGAGAAAUCACAUAAUUGUGAUUUUGGUUGACAUGGACCAUUUGGAUUGGAUUAUUGGACCUAAUUUAUGCACAAAUAAGAAAAAAUUGUAUGUAACUAAAUAAAUAAAUAAACAGUAGGGUUAUCUUGUCUCCAGUAGGUGUAGAUCCAAAUCUAAUGGUUCAUGCAUUGGUGUGUCAAUGUGUUAGAGCAGGAACUGGUGUAGAAAAUUCUUGUAUUGUUGCUGUCCGAUAAAGCCAAAUCCAAGAGGUGGCGGAGAAACAUGUGCAGAAACUGGUAUCGGUGUCUUUUUCAGCAAGAUUGUCAAGUUAGGAGAAGUCAGAAUAAACGGAAUGGUUGAAAGACUACAAUUAUCUCACCAGAUAAGGGAGAAUGUAUAUUGUCUUUUCCAGCAAAUCCUAAACCAAUGGACAUCUCUCUUCUUCAACCGCCAUAUUGACCGAAUCAAUACGAGUUGCUGCUAUGGAGUUGCGAAGAUAUCACAAUUGAACCUAACUUUUAGGGAGAUUAUAUACAACUACAGAAAGCAACUCCAAUGCAAACUACAAGUUUUUCGCAACAUAUUCGUUGACUGGUCAUCCACACGCCGUAAAACACAAUUAGCUAAGCAAUAAAAUGUUUUCCUUGUCUAGCUUAAAACACAAAUUUGAUCAUUUCUUAAAAGGAAGAUGAACUCAGAAAGAUGUUGAUAAAUAAGCUAUAACCCAUGUUUAACAUGUUUAUAACUCAAACUGGGUUUUGUUGAUAAUAAUACAUGUGAUGUUAGUAAGUUGUGAACACUCUUUAUCUAUUUAUUUCUUGAUAAAUAUAUUCAAAUAAAUGAGGAUCUUGGUAAACGAGAUCUAAGCUACUUAGUCUCAUUUCCGAAAUUAUCCAAACGUGUUUCAAAUGUUAACUUUAUUUCAUGUUUUGUUGGAAUAUAUAGCAUUUUUAUUUCCAAGAAAUAGAGCUCUUUAUUGGUUCUAAUUUUCAUUUGAAUAUUAAAUAAUUAGUACUAUGUGUAUCUAAUUUUCAUUUGAAGUCGUUGUGUCAUUUGUGUGUGCUUUCUGUGUAAGUUUGGUGCGCUGUGUGAAGCAAGCUAUAUGAUGUAUUGUGUUCAUCACGUGUGUAGCAUAUAUGGUUACUAUAUUAGAGGAUAUUUUCCAAUUCAAUUUUUUCUAUGUCAUGUUAAGGCUACUAAUUCAAAAUUAUAAAAAACAAAUGCAGUACGUUCUUUUCCUACAUAUCAUGCUAUAUCAUAUAAGGCUUAUAUAAAAUGUGUCUAUAUAGUUCAAUUUAUUAAAAUAUAUCACAGAAUAUACCAACUCUUUCCAUUAUAUUUGAUUUUGGGAUUUAAUAAAACAUGGUAGGUUAUUUACUACAACUGUGUUUGAAUUCAUUAAAGAAGCACAAGAAGUUAUUUACUACAAUUGCGUUCGGAGUUUUUCUUGGUUGAUCGCGCGUAUUGGUAGUAGGUUGGAAGGAGGAAGUAUGUUUUCACGUUCUGAUAUAAUUCUUCAACAUCUCACAGUGUGGUUUGGUGUCAGACCAGAUGGUGCGCUUCGGUUUGACGAUAGUAUCUUGCGUCAAUUAUCUGUCAUAAAAAGGAGACUCUUUUAUUGAUUUAAAUUCACUACUACAAUUUUAAACCAUAAUAUAUAAUACUUUUUGGAAGAAUGUAUCGUUUAUAAUUUCAUUCUAAAAAAAAAUGUUACAUAACAUCUUUAAAUAAAAAAUAUAUCUAUUAAAAAAUAUUAAAUAUUAACGGAAACAUG